AUUUUGCUGCCUCAGCCUCCCGAGUAGCUGGGACUACAGGUGCCCGCCACCACGCCCGGCUAAUUUUUUGUAUUUUUAGUAGAGAUAGGGUUUCACUGUGUUAGCCAGGAUGGUCUCCAUCUCCUGACCUCAUGAUCUACCCGCCUCAGCCUGCCAAAGUGCUGGGAUUACAGGCGUGAGCCACCGCGCCCGGCCAAAGCGGUUUUUAAAGGGAGGAUUUGGAAGGCAAAAGAGGCAGGGGGACUGGGAGGUGUCAGGUGGUGUGACCCCCUCCAGUGGCUUGUCCUGAAUUAUUUUUCCAUCUGUGGAAGUGGCCGGCGUCAUCAUGGCUGGAGGAGGUGCAUGGUUCGUAUCAGGAUCUGACUACUGAAGCUUCUAAGGAAAUAUGUGACCAGAUAAAGUUUUGCCGUUGUUGCCCAGGCCAGAGUGCGGUGGCACAAUCUCGACUCACUGCAACCUCUCUCUCCAGGAUUCAAGCGAUUCUUCUGCCUCAGCCUCCCAAGUAGCUGGGAUUACAGGGUCAUCACCUUCAGGACCACAAUGCCUGGUAGGGCAAGGACUCGCGCCCGAGGCAGAGCCCGCCGCAGGGAGAGCUACCAACAAGAGGCACCUGGGGGACCCAGAGCACCUGGAUCAGCUACAGUGAGCCCUGUAACGUUGUUUCCUUUCUGCAAGAGAUAUGUGCCUGUACUGAAAAGAACAUAGAGUUGGUUGUUGAGCGAAGCUAGUUCAGACCCAGGAGCCCCCUCAGUUGCAGUCGACACCCCGGCCGCUGCAGGAGGAAGUCCCAGUGGUUAGACCUCUGCAGCCAAGAGCAGCAAGAGGAGGAGCAGGAGGAGGAGCACAGUCUCAAGGGGUGAAGGAACCUGGACCUGAGGCUGGGUUGCAUACAGCGCCCUUGCAGGAGAGAAGGAUUGGUGGAGUUUUUCAAGACCUGGUGGUGAACACCAGGCAAGAUAUGAAGCAUGUUAAAGACUCAAAAACAGGUUCAGAGGGUACAGUGGUACAGCUACUCGCCAACCACUUCCGAGUGAUAUCUCGUCCUCAGUGGGUUGCAUAUAAAUACAACGUUGACUACAAACCAGACAUAGAAGAUGGAAAUCUCCGUACAAUUUUACUUGAUCAACAUAGAAGGAAAUUUGGAGAGCGCCAUAUAUUUGAUGGAAACUCUUUAUUAUUAUCUCGGCCACUAAAAGAGCGGAGAGUGGAAUGGUUGAGCACAACCAAAGACAAAAACAUCGUGAAGAUUACAGUUGAGUUUUCCAAAGAACUCACGCCCACGUCGCCAGAUUGCCUACGCUAUUACAACAUUCUCUUUAGAAGAACUUUCAAGCUGCUGGAUUUUGAACAAGUUGGUCGCAACUAUUAUACCAAAAAGAAGGCCAUUCAGUUAUACCGUCAUGGUACCAGUUUGGAAAUCUGGCUUGGUUAUGUUACUUCUGUUCUUCAAUACGAAAACAGCAUUACCCUCUGUGCCGAUGUGAGCCACAAACUGCUCCGAAUAGAAACUGCUUAUGAUUUCAUAAAGAGAACAUCUGCCCAGGCCCAGACAGGAAACAUCCGAGAGGAAGUAACUAAUAAAUUAAUUGGAUCAAUUGUUCUGACAAAAUACAACAACAAAACCUACAGAGUAGAUGAUAUUGAUUGGAAGCAGAAUCCUGAAGACACAUUUAACAAAUCAGAUGGCAGCAAAAUCACCUAUAUAGACUACUACAGGCAGCAACAUAAAGAAAUUGUCACAGUGAAGAAACAGCCACUUUUGGUCAGCCAGGGCAGAUGGAAAAAGGGCCUAACGGGUACACAACGUGAACCUAUCCUGCUGAUUCCUCAGCUGUGCCACAUGACAGGUCUAACAGAUGAAAUAUGUAAAGAUUAUAGCAUUGUGAAAGAAUUGGCUAAACAUACAAGAUUGAGUCCAAGAAGAAGGCAUCAUACAUUAAAAGAAUUCAUCAAUACUCUACAAGAUAAUAAAAAAGUACGAGAGUUACUUCAACUCUGGGAUUUGAAAUUUGAUACCAAUUUUUUGUCCGUCCCGGGAAGAGUUUUGAAAAACGCAAACAUCGUGCAAGGCAGAAGAAUGGUUAAAGCCAAUUCACAAGGAGACUGGUCAAGAGAAAUAAGAGAAUUACCCUUACUUAAUGCAAUGCCACUACAUAGUUGGCUCAUACUCUAUAGCAGGAGCAGUCACAGAGAAGCCAUGUCCUUAAAGGGUCAUCUACAGAGUGUCACAGCCCCCAUGGGCAUAACUAUGAAACCAGCAGAAAUGAUUGAAGUAGAUGGUGAUGCUAACUCCUAUAUAGACACAUUACGGAAAUAUACUAGACCAACACUGCAGAUGGUGAUUUGUAUCCUGCCCAAUGAUGACAAACGUAGAUAUGACAGCAUAAAAAGAUACCUAUGUACCAAAUGCCCAAUUCCAAGCCAGUGUGUGGUGAAAAAGACCUUAGAAAAAGUCCAGGCAAGGACCAUCGUCACCAAGAUUGCCCAGCAGAUGAAUUGCAAGAUGGGAGGAGCCCUCUGGAAGGUGGAGACAGACGUACAAAGAACAAUGUUCGUUGGCAUUGAUUGUUUCCACGAUAUCGUAAAUCGACAGAAAUCAAUAGCAGGAUUUGUUGCAAGUACCAAUGCUGAAUUAACAAAGUGGUACUCUCAAUGUGUCAUCCAGAAAACAGGAGAAGAGCUUGUGAAAGAGCUGGAGAUCUGCUUGAAAGCUGCCCUGGAUGUCUGGUGUAAAAACGAAUCAUCGAUGCCACAUUCUGUUAUUGUGUAUCGGGAUGGAGUGGGAGAUGGUCAGCUUCAAGCAUUGCUUGACCAUGAAGCGAAAAAGAUGUCGACCUACUUAAAAACCAUCUCUCCUAACAAUUUCACUCUAGCUUUCAUUGUGGUGAAGAAACGAAUAAACACUAGAUUUUUUCUUAAACAUGGAAGCAAUUUUCAAAAUCCACCUCCAGGAACAGUUAUUGAUGUAGAGUUGACUAGGAAUGAAUGGUAUGACUUUUUUAUUGUGAGUCAGUCUGUGCAAGAUGGGACUGUUACCCCCACUCAUUAUAACGUCAUCUAUGACACGAUUGGCUUGAGCCCAGAUACAGUACAGCGUUUAACAUAUUGUCUAUGCCACAUGUAUUAUAAUUUGCCAGGCAUCAUCCGAGUUCCAGCGCCUUGCCACUAUGCCCACAAGCUGGCUUACCUCGUGGGGCAGUCCAUUCACCAGGAACCGAAUCGUUCCUUGUCAACUCGUCUCUUUUACCUUUGACCUGCAGAAGAAGACCUGAUGUGCUAAUGAAACCACAACGUGUAAGCCUGUCUUCCUUUUGAAGCAGGAUGUCUGAAAUAUUUUCCUAGGUCCAUAGCAUUAAAUUCUCAUCGUUUUUGAUUGGACACAGGAGAGAUUCAGAGUGAUAUGUUCUACUCUCAAUACUACCACAGACUGAUUUUUCCAGAGAGGAGAACUGACAGGGUUUGGCUUGCAGUUUCCCUUUCAAAUAUGUGACAGAGAUCUCACAGCUGAACGUGACUGAACAUUUUCCACCCCAAGCAGGGCCACUCUAAGAAUUGAAAAGAUGGGGCAUUCGUCACAGAGAGAGUACAUCUGUGAACAAGUAAACUCUACUUGGAAAACUACGUUUACUUUAUUUUUGAAACUUUUUUUUGUUAAAGGACAGGAAAGGAAGACAUAAAAGUAACAACACUG